rnacentral:rRNA from 1 species
GAUGAACGCUGGCGGCGUGCCUAAUACAUGCAAGUCGAGCGAACAGACGAGGAGCUUGCUCCUCUGACGUUAGCGGCGGACGGGUGAGUAACACGUGGAUAACCUACCUAUAAGACUGGGAUAACUUCGGGAAACCGGAGCUAAUACCGGAUAAUAUAUUGAACCGCAUGGUUCAAUAGUGAAAGACGGUUUUGCUGUCACUUAUAGAUGGAUCCGCGCCGCAUUAGCUAGUUGGUAAGGUAACGGCUUACCAAGGCAACGAUGCGUAGCCGACCUGAGAGGGUGAUCGGCCACCCUGGAACUGAGACACGGCCCAGCCCCCUACGGGAGGCAGCAGGAGGGAAUCUUCCGCAACGGGCGAAAGCCUGACGGAGCAACGCCGCGGGAGUGAUGAAGGUCUUCGGAUCGUAAAACUCUGUUAUUAGGGAAGAAAAAAUGUGUAAGUAACUAUGCACGUCUUGACGGUACCUAAUCAGAAAGCCACGGCUAACUACGU